AUAGCUCCAAAUGCACGUUUGAAAUUCAAAAUGCUACAGCAAGACACAUUUCAAAAAGAAGAGCUUUUGCAUUAACAUCAUUUGAAAUCAUUACUAGUUAUUACAGUGAGCCAAACUGAAACAUUCCAACUAAUGUACUUUUCUCUGCCUCACAGGGAGAGUGACAUCCAUACAUGCAAAUUUAGCUGGAAAAACAGGGACUAAGAAAUGAUUCUGAAUCUCCCAUAAGACUUAUUUUUGGGGGCUUUACAUCAGAUGCAUCCUUCAAAUGGUAACAAAUGGUCUUACUAAGUUGUCAAGAAGAAAGGAGAUGUGCCAUGCAGCAGUCUGGAUGCUCAGUCACAGACCAUUGUCCAUUUCUUUCCAUUUCUUCCAGUGAAAUGCAGAGUCAGGCCCAGAAGGUGAAGUGCCACAGAGUCUAAAUGCUACGUCUGACUUCAUCAGGACUUGAUCAUGACUACAGCAGCGUUUCCAAGCCACAGGAAGGUCGGGAACUGCAUGGAGCUGCAGCUGAGAAUCGCGGCAGGUAAAGUCCAGACGAC